CCCCUCCAAUUGCCCCUCCAAUUCCCCCUCCUAUCAGCAUGUCAGCAAUCAUGCGCGUUAUCGACACCCGUCGAGUCCUUACAGUAUCUCCCGGUUCUCCCAGUGCUAAAGUUUUAUGCUCGAAUACUCUCUCAUCUUUGUCUCGAUAAGGACAAAAUCUAGCCUGCAAAGUUCUACCACAUAGGCUCUGAUAUAAGAAACAUGUAAUCAAGUAUUUCAUGGGCCACUGUCAAGAAUACUUUGCCGUUUAAGGGAGGAGCGGUCGUGGAGGGAUUUUCGAGCGGGUAACUCGUUCCCUCGCAAACUCCAAAAUCGUUAAUGCGGUAUGGAAGGUAACGAGGCGAGCCGAAGGAAAACCUGAUCGAGCGUACAACGGCCAUCAAGAGAGCUAAACGUACAACCAUGGAAGAAAGACUGCGUUUAUGUAUACAUGCAUACAAUAUAUAUAUAUAUAUAUAUAUUUGUAUAUUAUGUUAUCUAUGUAUAUGUGAUUUAAUGUAUUAUGUAUGAGAGAGAGUGAGAGAGAGUAGCAUGCAAGAGCAAAAGUAAUAAAACGAGUUCAAACACAACU